CACGUAGUUAGCCGUGGCUUAUUCGAGAGGUACCGUCUUCUGCUCUUCCCUCUUAAAAGAAGUUUACAACCCGAAAGCCUUCUUCCUUCACGCGGCGUUGCUGGGUCAGGCUUGCGCCCAUUGCCCAAUAUUCCCCACUGCUGCCUCCCGUAGGAGUCUGGGCCGUAUCUCAGUCCCAAUGUGGCCGGUCAACCUCUCAGUCCGGCUACUGAUCGUCGCCUAGGUGGGCCGUUACCCCGCUACUAGCUAAUCAGACGCGAGGCCAUCUUCCAGCGAUAAAUCUUUGACAUUCAAACCAUGCGAUUCAAAUGUGUCAUGCGGUAUUAGCAGUCGUUUCCAACUGUUGUCCCCCUCUGGAAGGCAGGUUCCUCACGCGUUACUCACCAGUCCGCCACUAAGCAUUCCUCUCCAUUGUCCGAAAACUCUUUCAAGGGUCGCUCCGUUCGACUUGCAUGUGUUAAGCACGCCGCAGCGUCGUCCUGUAGCAGGAGUACAACGUCU
rnacentral:rRNA from 1 species